AUCCAGCUGAGGAGUCCCAAAUAGGACAAAACUUACGUCCUGGAU
rnacentral:hammerhead_ribozyme from 1 species